rnacentral:rRNA from 1 species
AGUGAACGCUGGCGGUAGGCCUAACACAUGCAAGUCGAACGGAAGCACAGUAAGAGCUUGCUCUUACGGGUGGCGAGUGGCGGACGGGUGAGGAAUACAUCGGAAUCUACUUUUUCGUGGGGGAUAACGUAGGGAAACUUACGCUAAUACCGCAUACGUCCUACGGGUGAAAGCAGGGGAUCUUCGGACUUUGCGCGAUUGAAUGAGCCGAUGUCGGAUUAGCUAGUUGGCGGGGUAAAGGCCCACCAAGGCGACGAUCCGUAGCUGGUCUGAGAGGAUGAUCAGCCACACUGGAACUGAGACACGGUCCAGACUCCUACGGGAGGCAGCAGUGGGGAAUAUUGGACAAUGGGCGCAAGCCUGAUCCAGCCAUACCGCGUGAGUGAAGAAGGCCUUCGGGUUGUAAAGCCCUUUUGUUGGGAAAGAAAAGCAGCAGGUUAAUACCCCGCUGUUCUGACGGUACCCAAAGAAUAAGCACCGGCUAACUUCGUG